UAACACGUGAGCAACCUGCCCUAGGCUUUGGGAUAACCCCGGGAAACCGGGGCUAAUACCGAAUAUUACCACCGGGCGCAUGUUUGGUGGUGGAAAGUUUUUCGGCCUGGGAUGGGCUCGCGGCCUAUCAGCUUGUUGGUGGGGUGAUGGCCUACCAAGGCGACGACGGGUAGCCGGCCUGAGAGGGCGACCGGCCACACUGGGACUGAGACACGGCCCAGACUCCUACGGGAGGCAGCAGUGGGGAAUAUUGCACAAUGGGCGGAAGCCUGAUGCAGCGACGCCGCGUGAGGGAUGACGGCCUUCGGGUUGUAAACCUCUUUCAGCAGGGACGAAGCGAAAGUGACGGUACCUGCAGAAGAAGCGCCGGCCAACUACGUGCCAGCAGCCGCGGUAAGACGUAGGGCGCGAGCGUUGUCCGGAUUUAUUGGGCGUAAAGAGCUCGUAGGCGGCUUGUCGCGUCGACUGUG
rnacentral:rRNA from 1 species